rnacentral:sRNA from 1 species
GAACCCGGAAGCAGAGAGGAAGAACCGGAAGUUAGGCGGUAUCACGAGCCUUUAGUUUACUGGGUGGCCGGGCGAUGUCCUGGUUACUGUUCGAUUGUCCACCCUUUCCGACUUAUUUUGGUUUUGCGGUGCUGGGAAGCGAAGCUCUCGGGGAUCAUGGCUGUGCUCUCGCAGCCAGGCAUUGAGUGUCGACAGCUUCCUGUGAGGCCCAGUGCUCAGAGGAAGGCCAGUCUCCAUGCCAGCAGGGCCUGGCUGCAGAACUGUUUUCCUGAAGGAGCUUUGCGGUUUUCCUAGACGGUCCCGGCUCACUGGAAUGUGCGGUGUUGGGCACUGCAGACGGCACAUGGUAAGGACUGAAGCUGCAGGGCAUGAUGGCUUCCUUCAGGAACAAACAGACUAGGUUUGGCAUGAGAACUUUGUCUUGUCCAAAACAAAACAAAACAAAACAACACAAAACAAAAACAACUUUUGUGUAACAAUCAAGAAAUAUGCUUUUGGGGGUUGGGGAUUUAGCUCAGUGGUAGAGCGCUUGCCUAG